rnacentral:misc_RNA from 1 species
UACAGUGCCGCCUUUACUAAAUCCAAGGAUGUAUGUUUUGGGCUGAUAAGAAGAUGAAGAUGAUACACUGGUGGUCGAUGGCUCUUUCUCUUUUGUUGAAAUGACCUUUUUUGCCUCUUUUAGGCAAUUUGAUAAGAGAGAGAUGGUUGAGGUAGAAGCAGGGAAUCCAGCUGGGCUGUAAGAUUUUGGUUCCCCCCACCGAUUUACUGAUGGAAUGAAAUCUCUAUAAACGGCGAAAGGCCCAUUGAAAAUGGAAGCCUCAAUAAC